rnacentral:misc_RNA from 1 species
AUGCAUUUGAAGAGUCUCUGUCCAGAGUUCACCACAUUGAAGAAAAAACCAAAUAAAAAUUUGUUGUAUUUAGCAUAUCUACUAUCUGUUCUUGUUAUCGAAGGGUGCCUAAAAAUCUCUUCUUGUGUAUAAUGAUAAUAGAACAAGUACAUCUGUAAAACCCUUGUCUUCCUAUGCAUAAAUGUGUGAAUGUAAUGCUCCCAGAAGCUUUGGACCUGAG